UACGUAGGUGGCAAGCGUUGUCCGGAUUUACUGGGCGUAAAGCGCGCGCAGGCGGUCCGUUACGUCCGUUGUGAAAGCUCCCGGCUCAACUGGGAGAGGUCUUCGGAUACGGGCGGACUCGAGGAAGGUAGAGGAAGGUGGAAUUCCCGGUGUAGUGGUGAAAUGCGUAGAGAUCGGGAGGAACACCAGUGGCGAAGGCGGCCUUCUGGGCCCUUCCUGACGCUGAGGCGCGAAAGCGUGGGGAGCGAACCGG
rnacentral:rRNA from 1 species